rnacentral:lncRNA from 1 species
UAUUAACAAUAGUAAUAGUAAAGAGGAAAAUAUUAGCAAUAGUAAUAGUAAAGAGGAAAAUAUUAGCAAUAGUAAUAGUAAAGAGGAAAAUAUUAGCAAUAGUAAUAGUAAAGAGGAAACUAGUAGUAAUAGUAAUAGUAAAGAGGAAACUAGUAGUAAUAGUAAUAGUAAAGAGGAAACUAGUAGUAAUAGUAAAGAGGAAACUAUUAGUAAUAAUA